GUCUGACAGCCCAACCAUUGCCGCCGCUGACGCCUCCAGCUAUGUCUCCGGCGCCUCCUGCUGCUGCUUCUCCCGCGCCAUCACCAUCACCUUAAGAAUCACCCUAGCUAAAGUGGCAAAAGGAUGGAUGCAUGGAUCGAAGAUGGUUUCGUCAGGAUUAGAUUAUCUGGAUAUAUAGAGUCAAAUUAUCGUUCUAGUUGGUUUCGUUUAGGUACCAAGAAAAAUAUCGAUCAGCUAGGCUAGCGUUUAGGGGUUCAGAGCGUACUUCAUACGUAGUUCCCAGUGCUACUCAGUUACGUACAUUAUUAGUAGAGUUAUCAAUCAUGUAAUCGCUAUUGGGUAAUAUAUAAACUAGUAGAUGCAUAUUAUGUUAUUGCUGCC